rnacentral:rRNA from 1 species
AUUGAACGCUGGCGGCAGGCCUAACACAUGCAAGUCGAGCGGCAGCGACAACAUUGACCCUUCGGGUGAUUUGUUGGGCGGCGAGCGGCGGACGGGUGAGUAAUGCCUGGGAAUAUGCCCUGAUGUGGGGGAUAACCAUUGGAAACGAUGGCUAAUACCGCAUAAUCUCUUCGGAGCAAAGAGGGGGACCUUCGGGCCUCUCGCGUCAGGAUUAGCCCAGGUGAGAUUAGCUUGUUGGUGAGGUAAGAGCUCACCAAGGCAACGAUCUCUAGCUGGUCUGAGAGGAUGAUCAGCCACACUGGAACUGAGACACGGUCCAGACUCCUACGGGAGGCAGCAGUGGGGAAUAUUGCACAAUGGGGGAAACCCUGAUGCAGCCAUGCCGCGUGUAUGAAGAAGGCCUUCGGGUUGUAAAGUACUUUCAGUUGUGAGGAAGGCGUAUACGUUAAUAGCGUAUGUGUUUGACGUUAGCAACAGAAGAAGCACCGGCUAACUCCGUGCCAGCAGCCGCGGUAAUACGGAGGGUGCGAGCGUUAAUCGGAAUUACUGGGCGUAAAGCGCAUGCAGGCGGCUUGUUAAGCCAGAUGUGAAAGCCCGGGGCUCAACCUCGGAAUAGCAUUUGGAACUGGCAGGCUAGAGUCUUGUAGAGGGGGGUAGAAUUUCAGGUGUAC